rnacentral:rRNA from 1 species
GACGAACGCUGGCGGCGUGCCUAAUACAUGCAAGUCGAGCGGACUUAAAAAGCUUGCUUUUUAAGUUAGCGGCGGACGGGUGAGUAACACGUGGGCAACCUGCCUGUAAGACUGGGAUAACUUCGGGAAACCGGAGCUAAUACCGGAUAAUCCUUUUCUACUCAUGUAGAAAAGCUGAAAGACGGUUUACGCUGUCACUUACAGAUGGGCCCGCGGCGCAUUAGCUAGUUGGUGAGGUAACGGCUCACCAAGGCGACGAUGCGUAGCCGACCUGAGAGGGUGGUCCGCCCACCUGGGACUGGAACACGGCCCAGACUCCUACGGGAGGCAGCAGUAGGGAAUCUUCCGCAAAGGACGAAAGUCUGACGGAGCAACGCCGCGUGAGUGAUGAAGGUUUUCGGAUCGUAAAACUCUGUUGUUAGGGAAGAACAAGUACGAGAGUAACUGCUCGUACCUUGACGGUACCUAACCAGAAAGCCACGGCUAACUACGUG